rnacentral:rRNA from 1 species
AUUGAACGCUGGCGGCAGGCUUAACACAUGCAAGUCGAGCGGGGUGAUGGUGCUUGCACUAUCACUUAGCGGCGGACGGGUGAGUAAUGCUUAGGAAUCUGCCUAUUAGUGGGGGACAACAUCUCGAAAGGGAUGCUAAUACCGCAUACGUCCUACGGGAGAAAGCAGGGGAUCACUUGUGACCUUGCGCUAAUAGAUGAGCCUAAGUCGGAUUAGCUAGUUGGUGGGGUAAAGGCCUACCAAGGCGACGAUCUGUAGCGGGUCUGAGAGGAUGAUCCGCCACACUGGGACUGAGAAACGGCCCAGACUCCUACGGGAGGCAGCAGUAGGGAAUAUUGGACAAUGGGGGGAACCCUGAUCCGGCCAUGCCGCGUGUGUGAAGAAGGCCUUAUGGUUGUAAAGCACUUUAAGCGAGGAGGAGGCUCUUUUGGUUAAUACCCAAGAUGAGUGGACGUUACUCGCAGAAUAAGCACCGGCUAACUCUGUGCCAGCCGCCGCAGUAA